GGCCCCCUGUCCCUCUCGACUCUUCCGUGGCUAUUUUUAAUCGCAAUCAACGAGAGAAUUGCCAGCGAAUUACUUGCAAGAAAUCGCCGCAUAAGUUGCAUAACUGAUAAAAACGCAAUGUGAACGAUGUUCAGCUAACUGUUUUUGCUGAGAAAAUGAUCGAAAAAUCGUUUAUUUCACAUUUCGGUACGUUUAACGAUCGAUCACGACGAUCAGCGGAUAGUGUGCAAGUAGGCGUAUUUCAUUUAGGG